GAUGAACGCUGGCGGCGUGCUUAACACAUGCAAGUCGAACGAUGAAGCCCAGCUUGCUGGGUGGAUUCGUGUCGAACGGGUGAGUAACACGUGAGUAACCUGCCCUUAACUCUGGGAUAAGCCUUGGAAACUGGGUCUAAUACCGGAUAGGAGCGCCUACCGCAUGGUGGGUGUUGGAAAGAUUUAUCGGUUUUGGAUGGACUCGCGGCCUAUCAGCUUGUUGGUGAGGUAAUGGCUCACCAAGGCGACGACGGGUAGCCGGCCUGAGAGGGUGACCGGCCAAAAGGGGACUGAGACAGGGCCCAGACUCCUACGGGAGGCAGCAGGGGGGAAUAUUGCACAAGGGGCGAAAGCCGGAUGCAGAGACGCAGGGGGAGGGAGGACGGCCUUCGGGUGGGAAACCGCUUUCAGUAGGGAAGAGGCGAAAGUGACGGUACCUGCAGAAGAAGAACCGGCUAACUACGU
rnacentral:rRNA from 1 species